rnacentral:ncRNA from 1 species
UUGAGCGAUGUGCUGGGAAACUAGCCCGCAUCGUUCCUAGAGGGCGCUCCUCAGUAAUGAGGAGUUGCGAUUCGAC